GGUGCUUGCACCUUUCAAGUGAGUGGCGAACGGGUGAGUAACACGUGGACAACCUGCCUCAAGGCUGGGGAUAACAUUUGGAAACAGAUGCUAAUACCGAAUAAAACUUAGUGUCGCAUGACACAAAGUUAAAAGGCGCUUCGGCGUCACCUAGAGAUGGAUCCGCGGUGCAUUAGUUAGUUGGUGGGGUAAAGGCCUACCAAGACAAUGAUGCAUAGCCGAGUUGAGAGACUGAUCGGCCACAUUGGGACUGAGACACGGCCCAAACUCCUACGGGAGGCUGCAGUAGGGAAUCUUCCACAAUGGGCGAAAGCCUGAUGGAGCAACGCCGCGUGUGUGAUGAAGGCUUUCGGGUCGUAAAGCACUGUUGUAUGGGAAGAACAGCUAGAAUAGGAAAUGAUUUUAGUUUGACGGUACCAUACCAGAAAGGGACGGCUAAAUACGUGCCAGCAGCCGCGGUAAUACGUAUGUCCCGAGCGUUAUCCGGAUUUAUUGGGCGUAAAGCGAGCGCAGACGGUUUAUUAAGUCUGAUGUGAAAGCCCGGAGCUCAACUCCGGAAUGGCAUUGGAAACUGGUUAACUUGAGUGCAGUAGAGGUAAGUGGAACUCCAUGUGUAGCGGUGGAAUGCGUAGAUAUAUGGAAGAACACCAGUGGCGAAGGCGGCUUACUGGACUGCAACUGACGUUGAGGCUCGAAAGUGUGGGUAGCAAACAGGAUUAGAUACCCUGGUAGUCCACACCGUAAACGAUGAACACUAGGUGUUAGGAGGUUCCGCCUCUUAUGCCGAGCUAAGCAUUAGUGUUCCCCUGGGGAGUCNACCCCAGGUUGAACUCAAGGAUUGANGGACCNCCAGCGGGGACAUGUG
rnacentral:rRNA from 1 species